rnacentral:piRNA from 1 species
UUCUGUUGGUAUUCCUGUCAU